GGCAAGAUGGCUGAGCGGUCUAAGGUGUGUGACUCAAGUGAAAGCUUGCCUUCGAGCGAAGGUUUCUCAUCAGGGUAAUCCUGGCAGGGGUUCGAAUCCCCUUCUUGUCA